rnacentral:rRNA from 1 species
UACGUAGGGGGCAAGCGUUGUCCGGAAUCAUUGGGCGUAAAGAGCGUGUAGGCGGCCCGGUAAGUCCGCUGUGAAAGUCGGGGGCUCAACCCUCGAAUGCCGGUGGAUACUGUCGGGCUAGAGUGCGGAAGAGGUGAGUGGAAUUCCCAGUGUAGCGGUGAAAUGCGUAGAUAUUGGGAGGAACACCAGUGGCGAAGGCGGCUCACUGGACCGGAACUGACGCUGAGGCGCGAAAGCGUGGGGAGCAAACAGG